rnacentral:rRNA from 1 species
UACGUAGGGUCCGAGCGUUGUCCGGAGUUACUGGGCGUAAAGCGUGCGCAGGCGGUUUCUUAAGUCAGAUGUGAAAGCCCCCGGGCUUAACCUGGGAACUGCGUUUGAAACUGGGAGACUUGAGUGUGGCAGAGGGGGGGUGGAAUUCCACGUGUAGCAGUGAAAUGCGUAGAUAUGUGGAGGAACACCAAUGGCGAAGGCAGCCCCCUGGGUCAACACUGACGCCUCAUGCACGAAAGCGUGGGGAGCAAACAGG